AAGUGGCAUCACUGAAUUUUGAAAGAAUUUCGGUGGAGGAAGACUUCGCGGCCUAUCAGCUUGUUGGUGAGGUAAAGGCUCACCAAGGCGACGACGGGUAUCCGGCCUGAGAGGGCGACCGGACACACUGGGACUGAGACACGGCCCAGACUCCUACGGGAGGCAGCAGUGGGGAAUAUUGGGCAAUGGACGAAAGUCUGACCCAGCGACGCCGCGUGAGGGAUGAAGGCCUUCGGGUUGUAAACCUCUUUCAGUAGGGAAGAAGCGAAAGUGACGGUACCUAAAGAAGAAGCACCGGCUAACUAUGUGCCAGCAGCCGCGGUAAUACAUAGGGUGCAAGCGUUGUCCGGAAUUAUUGGGCGUAAAGAGCUCGUAGGUGGUUUGUUGCGUCGGGUGUGAAAUUCAGGGGCUCAACCCCUGACCUGCACUCGAUACGGGCAGACUAGAGUUUGGUAGGGGAGACUGGAAUUCCUGGUGUAGCGGUGGAAUGCGCACAUAUCAGGAGGAACACCAAUGGCGAAGGCAGGUCUCUGGGCCAAUACUGACACUGAGGAGCGAAAGCGCGGGGAGCGAACAGGAUUAGAUACCCUGGUAGUCCGCGCCGUAAACGAUGGGCGCUGGUUGUGGGG
rnacentral:rRNA from 1 species